CACGCCCUAAACGAUGUCGACUAGGUGUUCGGUGAGGAGACUCAUUGAGUACCGCAGCUAACGCGUGAAGUCGACCGCCUGGGGAGUACGGUCGCAAGAUUAAAACUCAAAGGAAUUGACGGGGACCCGCACAAGCGGUGGAUGAUGUGGAUUAAUUCGAUGCAACGCGAAAAACCUUACCUACCCUUGACAUGUACGGAACCCUGCUGAGAGGUGGGGGUGCUCGAAAGAGAGCCGUAACACAGGUGC
rnacentral:rRNA from 1 species